GCUUCCGUAGUGUAGUCGUCAUCACGCUUCGUUUACACCGAAGAGGUCCUCGGUUCAAUCCCGAGCGGAAGCA